rnacentral:rRNA from 1 species
UACGAAGGGAGCUAGCGUUGUUCGGAAUCACUGGGCGUAAAGCGCACGUAGGCGGAUUUGUAAGUCAGAGGUGAAAUCCCGGAGCUCAACUUCGGAAUUGCCUCCGAUACUGCCGUGCUUGAGGACUGGAGAGGAGAUUGGAAUUCACAGUGGAGCAGUGAAAUGCGUAGAUAUUGUGAGGAACACUAGUGGCGAAGGCGAAUCUCUGGACAGUUCCUGACGCUGAGGCACGAAGGCCAGGGGAGCAAACGGG